rnacentral:rRNA from 1 species
GUGGGGAAUUUUGGACAAUGGGCGCAAGCCUGAUCCAGCAAUGCCGCGUGCAGGAAGAAGGCCUUCGGGUUGUAAACUGCUUUUGUACGGAACGAAACGGUCCUGGUUAAUACCUGGGGCUAAUGACGGUACCGUAAGAAUAAGCACCGGCUAACUACGUGCCAGCAGCCGCGGUAAUACGUAGGGUGCGAGCGUUAAUCGGAAUUACUGGGCGUAAAGCGUGCGCAGGCGGUGCUGUAAGACAGGCGUGAAAUCCCCGGGCUCAACCUGGGAAUUGCGCUUGUGACUGCAGUGCUGGAGUACGGCAGAGGGGAAUGGAAUUCCGCGUGUAGCAGUGAAAUGCGUAGAUAUGCGGAGGAACACCGAUGGCGAAGGCAGUCCCCUGGGCCUGUACUGACGCUCAUGCACGAAAGCGUGGGGAGCAAACAGGAUUAGAAACCCGUGUAGUCC